GACGAACGCUGGCGGCGUGCCUAAUACAUGCAAGUAGAACGCUGAAGGAGGAGCUUGCUUCUCUGGAUGAGUUGCGAACGGGUGAGUAACGCGUAGGUAACCUGCCUGGUAGCGGGGGAUAACUAUUGGAAAUGAUAGCUAAUACCGCAUAAGAGUAGAUGUUGCAUGACAUUUGCUUAAAAGGUGCAAUUGCAUCACUACCAGAUGGACCUGCGUUGUAUUAGCUAGUUGGUGGGGUAACGGCUCACCAAGGCGACGAUACAUAGCCGACCUGAGAGGGUGAUCGGCCACACUGGGACUGAGACACGGCCCAGACUCCUACGGGAGGCAGCAGUAGGGAAUCUUCGGCAAUGGACGGAAGUCUGACCGAGCAACGCCGCGUGAGUGAAGAAGGUUUUCGGAUCGUAAAGCUCUGUUGUAAGAGAAGAAACGAGUGUGAGAAGUGGAAAG
rnacentral:rRNA from 1 species